AACGUACGCUGGCGGCACGCCUAACACAUGCAAGUCGAACGAAGUAGCAAUACUUAGUGGCAGACGGGUGAGUAACAUGUAGGUAUCUGCCCUUUGGCCUGGAAUAACACGAGGAAACUUGUGCUAAUACCGGAUAAGUCUUUACGGAGAAAGCUUUAUGCACCAUUGGAUGAGCCUGCACUUGAUUAGUUUGUUGGUGGGGUAAUGGCCUACCAAGACUGUGAUCAAUAGCUGAUUUGAGAGGAUGAUCAGCCACAUUGGGACUGAGACACGGCCCAAACUCCUACGGGAGGCAGCAGUGGGGAAUCUUGCACAAUGGAGGAAACUCUGAUGCAGCGAUGCCGCGUGAGUGAAGAAGGCCCUUGGGUUGUAAAGCUCUUUCGUCGGGGAAGAAAAUGACUGUACCCGAAUAAGAAGGUCCGGCUAACUUCGUGCCAGCAGCCGCGGUAAUACGAAGGGACCUAGCGUAGUUCGGAAUUACUGGGCUUAAAGAGUUCGUAGGUGGUUGAAAUAGUUGGUGGUGAAAUCCCAGAGCUUAACUCUGGAACUGCCAUCAAAACUUUUCAGCUAGAGUAUGAUAGAGGAAAGCAGAAUUUCUAGUGUAGAGGUGAAAUUCGUAGAUAUUAGAAAGAAUACCAAUUGCGAAGGCAGCUUUCUGGAUCAUUACUGACACUGAGGAACGAAAGCAUGGGUAGCGAAGAGGAUUAGAUACCCUCGUAGUCCAUGCCGUAAACGAUGUGUGUUAGACGUUGGAAAUUUAUUUUCAGUGUCGCAGGGAAACCGAUAAACACACCGCCUUGGGGAGUACGACCGCAAGGUUAAAACUCAAAUGAAUUGACGGGGACCCGCACAAGUAGUGGAGCAUGUGGUUUAAUUCGAAGAUACGCGCAGAACCUUACCAACACUUGACAUGUUCGUCGCGACUCUAAGAGAUUAAAAGUUUUCGGUUCGGCCGGACGAA
rnacentral:rRNA from 1 species